rnacentral:rRNA from 1 species
GAUGAACGCUGGCGGCGUGCCUAAUACAUGCAAGUCGAGCGAACAGACGAGGAGCUUGCUCCUCUGACGUUAGCGGCGGACGGGUGAGUAACACGUGGAUAACCUACCUAUAAGACUGGGAUAACUUCGGGAAACCGGAGCUAAUCCCGGAUAAUAUCUUGAACCGCAUGGUUCAAUAGUGAAAGACGGUUUUGCUGUCACUUAUCGAUGGAUCCGCGCCGCAUUAGCUAGUUGGUAAGGUAACGGCUUACCAAGGCAACGAUGCGUAGCCGACCUGAGAGGGUGAUCGGCCACACUGGAACUGAGACACGGUCCAGACUCCUACGGGAGGCAGCAGUAGGGAAUCUUCCGCAAUGGGCGAAAGCCUGACGGAGCAACGCCGCGUGAGUGAUGAAGGUCUUCGGAUCGUAAAACUCUGUUAUUAGGGAAGAACAAAUGUGUAAGUAACUAUGCACGUCUUGACGGUACCUAAUCAGAAAGCCACGGCUAACUACGUG